UAUUACAAAGUAUUUUCAAUAGAUUUGAAAUUGUAUUAUAUCAAUAAAUUGUAAAUUAAAAAAAAGUUGACACGCAUCCCAACCUUACAUUUUUCAUUUGUUGAUUUGUUAAAUGUUGCUGAAUUUCAUUGUAGUAUAUGCCCUCUUUUUCACAAAAAACAGAAUGACAGAAAGAUUUAAUUUAUGACGGCAAAUGCUUAAGGGUUGAGGAACAAAGCACCAAUCAGAUAUCAAUCCCAUGAAAGAGUAUCUUUGUCGGCAAUUGCACUCUAAAGAAUUUGCAACUACACUCAAAGCUUAAUUAUCAUCAUUGUUACAUUUGUAAUUUACGAGGAAAUUAAACAUUUUUUUUAAGAAGAUGUCUUCAUUAUCUCCUUAAAUGAAUGCAAUGCAACAUCAAAUAUACAAAUGGCAUGACAUCGCAACCAUAAUCUUUUAAAUUUGAUUCGUUAAUCGAUAUUUUGGUGAGUCAAUAGCUAGAGACAAAGUUAAAGAAAGAUAUAAAUGGGAAUAGACAGAUUAAUGAUGGUCCCUUACUCUUGUGGUCUCUGCAUCGCAUACGCGGCUGGAUCUUAAUUUCGCAAUAGGAAACAUAGUGACAUUCACACCACACUCAGCACCACGUUUAGUACAAUGAGGGCCUUUCUGCUAUAUUUACUAAAACUUCCUGAGAAAAAGUAAAAAGAUUUAAAUGUCUCCUAUUCACCCCUAAACUACUUGAAUUUAGAUUCCAAUAAUUGGGAAUCGUUUUUAAGGUAUUCUCGUGUUAUUACUAAUUUAGAUCUAUUGAGCUGCGAACAAUGAAAAGUAAAGGGUAAAAGCUCAUUUAGUCUCUAUAUUUUAAAAAUAGUAUUUAUUUAGUCCCUAUAUUUUUAAAAAUAUAUCGAAACAUCCCUGUCGUUAAAGUAUUGAUAUCUCUACCGUUACUUUUUAUUUCUUUUGGCUUACUUUUACAAUAUUACCCUUUUAUAAUAAUUUUUUUGUUUGGACAUUAAUAAAAAUAAAAUAAUUAAAUUAUCAAUUUAACCCAAAAAAAUUAUAUUAAUUUUUAAUUGUCAAAAAUUAAAUUGUUAUUUUUAUUUCUUUUGACUUGCUUUUACAAUAUUACCCUUUUAUAAUAAUUUUUUUGUUUGGACAUUAAUAAAAAGAAAAUAAUUAAAUUACCAAUUUAACCCUAAAAAAGGAAAAAAUAUAUAUUAAAUUUUAAUUGUCAAAAAUUAGAUUGUCAAAAAUUGUAUGCAAACUACCAAGUGUGCAAAUGGUGCUUACAAAAAAAUUAAUAUAAUUUUUUUAUUUUCUAGGGUGAAAUUGGUAAUUUAACUAUUUGCUUUUUAUUAAUGUCCAAAUAAAAAAAUUAUUAUAAAGGGUAAUAUUGUAAAAGUAAGCCAAAUGAAAUAAAAAGUAACGGUAGGGGUAUCAAUAUUUUAACGGAAGGGAUGUUUCGGGAUAUUUUUAAAAAUACAGGGACUAAACGGACACUAAUCUUAAAAUAUAGGGACUAAAUGAGCAUUUACCCAAAAGUAAAUAAUACCAAGGAUUUACUAUUUACAAUAUUGCUAAUUAUAACUUCUUCUAAAUUAAUCAUUCAGGAGUGUUGUUUUCUCUAUUUCCUAUAUUUUAUCCUUCGUUAAAUGCUACUUCUAUUCCUUUAUCUACUAUACUUCUUAAUUUAAAAUUAUGAUUUAUCUGACUUUUUAAUACAGCCAGUCUUCCUAAAUUAUCAGCUUGUUUAAUGUAUUCACUAAAUACGUUAGCAGAAUAAUUUUGUAAAGUAAAACAAGUAUAAUUAUCUAACAACAUGCAAGUUAGAUUAUUUAAAAAUCUUAUAAACAAUUGUUCUUCUCUACUGGAUACUCCCAUUCUUUUGCAAAUUUAUGUCAAACUGAUUGAAAAAUCAAGUGUUUUGUUGCAAAUACUAACCAAAUUCGUAUCCUUUUUAAGAAUAUUUCCAAAAAUUGUUUUCCAAAAGUUCAAAAUAUAAAAUCAGACAUUUUAAUUAAAUUAAGUUUUUUUAAUAAAAAAACUUCUUUCUCUUAGGGGUAUGGAAAUCCCAACACAAAACCUCCAUUCUUCCCUAAAACACCUAUCCUUAGGCUAAAACAAUACUUACGAGUAAAACUGGGCACUUAAAGAUCCUUCUUCAAGGCUUUUGGUUUUUCUAGAAACCUAAGUUUUGUUUAGACUCUAAUUUUAUUCUUCACAAAUAAAAAAACAUUUGUUAUCAGCAAAUAAAAAGAUACUUGAUUUAUAAUGAAAAAUCUGCAACAUAUAAAGUCGUUCAUUUAUAAACACAUAGAAGUUUACAAAAGACUGAGUUUCUCUAUUGAAAAAGAACUAAACAACUUAGAUACAGUAGAUUAUGCUGAAUAAAUUAACUUACUUGAAAUAUCUUCUAGUAAUUGAAUAAGAACUUAAGAGCUUUAUAGAUUGAAAUUUGUUACAAAAAUUUUUUAUAUUUUUUAUCUGAUUUCUUCUCUUU
rnacentral:lncRNA from 1 species